rnacentral:misc_RNA from 1 species
UGGCUCCCGCAUCGAUGAAGAACGCAGCGAAAUGCGAUAAGUAAUGUGAAUUGCAGAACUCAGUGAAUCAUCGAAUCUUUGAACGCACCUUGCGCUCUAUGGUAUUCCGUAGAGCAUGUCUGUCUGAGUGUCAUGAAACUCUCAACCCCAAGCAUGUCUGGUGACUGCUCUGAGGGCUUGGAUCAUGAGUGCCUGCUGGACCUGUGCAUCAGCUCACUCUAAAUAUAUCAGCGGUCUUUCAUAUCCUCUGAGGCCUGUCCUGACGUGAUAGAUUAUUCGUUGGGAUUCUCUGUGGGAAAUGGAGAUGCUUACAACCUGUAUUUAUACAAUUUCAAGUGUUAGACCUCAGAUCAGGCAGGACUACCCGCUGA